GUAGCAUAAUAAUUUGUUUUUUAAAUGGAAACUGGAAUGAAAGGUUUUAACAUAGAUAUUUUUUCUUAUUUUUAAAUAUUUAAUUUAGGGUAAAAGUUAAAACACUUUUAUAUUUUAAAAAGACGAUAAGACCCUAAAAGCUUUAAUAUUAUUUUGUUGUUUAUAUAUAAAUUAGUUUUAUUAUUUUAACUGGGGUAGUGAUUUGUUUUAAAUAUAGUUUUAAUCAACUUUUAGGUAUUUUACCCUUUUUAUGAAGGUUUGUUUAAGUUACUUUAGGGAUAACAGCAUUAUUGGGUUUUAGAGACCUUAUUAAAAACUCAGUUAGUGACCUCGAUGUUGAAUUAAUAUAACUAUUUGGUGCAGCGGCCUUAAGAGUAAGUUUGUUCAACUUUUAAUUUAUU
rnacentral:rRNA from 1 species